ensembl:lncRNA
CAAAUAUAUGCUUUCCUAGCCAAUUAUCAAAUAUUAACUGGGAAGGUGAAAAAGGGUUCUGUUUUGUACCUUCAAAGCUUUCACACAAACAGGAGUGAGCUAUGGAUUUAGAAGCCUCAAAGAAGUUUUCAAAAAUAACCAGUAAAGUCAGUGCAAUGGAGAAAAAAAUCCCUCUUGCAGUGAAAGCUACUGUUGUUGUGUUAAAAUCAAGGGGGAUGUGAAUACCUCCGGUUGGAUAACUUCAGUUCAGCUACUGAAGAUAGGAAGUAUCUUUGGGUCCAAGUAAACUCAUGAAGAAACCACAUUUGGCCCUCAGUUGGUGUGAAGAGCAGGCAAACGCUAUUCCCAGGCUUAGCAUCCUGCCUAUGCUGAAGAUAUGGAUUGCCAAAAUUUGGACUUAGAGGUUUCAAACUUCUGUCCAGAAUGUGAUCUCUCCUGCAAGCAAAUAUUGGAGCCCAUUUCUAGCAUCAUAAUUCAGCUGCAAAUUGUACAGGCAUAGAUACGGCUUUUCUUCAGGCAGUGUGCUACGAAAGAAUUAACCUGAAUUAAUGGACUUAAAAAGCCCCCAAGAGUAGAGUAAUUUUCACCUAUAGUACUACUAUAAGGCACAUUGAUUGUUGUUGAUUUCCUUUGAUUUCAUUUCACAGACAUAUAAUAAAUCCAAUAAAAACGUUCACCUCUGAGCCUCACAAAAUCUUGAUCAGAGGAAUAAUGUGGUUUUCACACUCCUGCUCAUGAUCAGUGAUUUCUCUUUUGCAGAUUCUUUAACUUUGUAAUAGAUGAAACUGAAUCUUACAUUGGUUCAGUUGCCUUGAGUCUGGACAUAGGAAGUGGAUCUAAGCAAAAAUUUAUAGUCUUUCCAGGCUCAAUUGCUUUAAAUGGUCUUAUCUAGAUUGGGGAAAAAAAAAAAAAAAAGAAAAAAAAAGUACUUACUCUUUAUUGAAGCUACAAGUCCUAGAGUUUUUUGAAAGAUAAAACCUAUUAUUUCUUCUUCUUACUUCCAGCCUCUGCCUCAUAUCUGACUUCAGCAUAUUGCAGAGCUGUUUCCUAAGGUAUUUAGUCUUCUCAGACUGCUCUGCUGCAGUAUAUGCAGAUACAUUUCUGAACAUAAACCCUGUGGUAAUAUUAGGAUUAGCUCAUUUUUCCUACCACAUUUUUUUUUCCUACCAAAUUUAUCUUAAAAUCUAUGUUUUUUUAUAUUAAAACUAUGCACAGAUCAGUGUUUCACUCCUAAAGCAAUAAUUCCUUUUCAUCUACAAACAUGAAUGUGGUGCUCACUGUAAUCCAUUCAGAAUACCAUCCUGUUCUGCUUGGUAAUAUUCACUUUCAUUUUACAUAAAGGUAAACUCCUGAUCCCAUGGAAGUUGACAGGAAAUUUGUAAUUGAAUGAAAAGUAGACUUCUACCAAAAUUUGUAAAUUUUCUAAUAAAAAGAUGGUAUUACCAUUUGUAAGUAAAUCAAAUCUGUAACACAUGGUUUAAUAUAUGCAUGUCACCUACAAAGAUAAUACAAAGAGCACAAAUACUUUCUAAUUACCUUUGUCACCUUCAUGAAGUCCCUGCCAGUGGUUCAUGAUGAGGUUAAGAAGACCCUGUUACGUUCUCAGCAGGGAUGAGACGAGUUGAUGAUCCUGGAGGUGGUGUCAUCCCAGCUUCAUGACUGCAAAACACCGAAAUCCUCCCUUCUGAAAGCUUGAAGAUGUACUAGAGAUUUGACACUGGUAUCUCCAGAGCUCUCUGAAUCCUUAUCUCCAUAAUCUCCUACGGAGCUUCAAGAUAUAAACUUCUUAUUUAGACAUCAUAUGCGUUAACUGAAGUAAAAGCAUCCUCGUCUGAGAAGAUAUAUGGCAUCUCAGCUGGCCAAUGUGCUCCCAUCUUUUUCUUCGGUUAUAUUUCCUCCAGACUGCUCCUGGACAUCAACUCUAGACAGUUUCUUGGAUAACAGACUGGUGGUAACCUUCAGGAGUUGUAACAGCAGCAUGUGCUUGGAUCAAAAAAGAGACUUGAGCUCUGUUCUUAAAUAACAGGCAAGUUCAGCUCUUGUUUACACGCAUGAGACUUUUACUGACAAUGAUGAGCUUAGAGCUGUAUAUACUACUCACGCAGAAUACAUAAUCAAGAGUGGAAACUAAUAAUUCUGAGACACCAGCUUUUAAAAAGACAGGAUUUAGAUGUGUUUGUGAUUACGGUGAUAUUUUAAACAAUUCUCAUAAUAAAGUGCUCUGCAUGUGUGAGUACUGCUUACUGACUGAAAGGUAGAUCACAAACGUGUAUGUGGGAUCUCACACCUGGCAGAAAACCAUUUUGUUGUCUCCUAUCUGCAGCCCUGUUUGGGCAUGCUUCAUUAGCUCCACCUGUGCAGGAGAAGUAGAGGAAAGAGUCCUGAGACAAAUCUGGAUCUUGGGGUAAAGUCUGUAUUGAUCUGUAGGUUGUAAAACUCUUUCUCCUGUAGUCUGUGAAAAUUCAGAACAGAAGCAACAAUCAAAGGAAGAAAAGCUUAUUUUUACAAAAUAGGAUUUUAAAAUCUUUCAUUGUAAUCCUAGACGGGCUUUGUUCUGACUGACUGCUAGGAUCAGAUUUACGCCAACUUUGGGGGAGUCCCAGUGGGGCAAAAUUGUUGCUUAACCUGGUAGAUAGCUUCCAGUAAUGGAUAGUUUAUAUAAAAUGGGAAUGUUUGGAUCAUUAAAUCUUAACUUGGAUUUUUUUUGCUAAGGAGCCACGUCCAGGCUCCAUUAACAUUUCAUCUUAUAAGCUUCUGUAAUUAGUUUCCUGUGAAAUUCUUACUUUGCCA